GAUCGCCAUAUUUAUAGGUGGCAACCUGCAGUGGAACGCAAGCGCAGCCUUUCUUGCUUGGGAGGGGAGAUUAAGACAAGAGAAAUGUUUGUUUUUGUUUUUGUUUUUCUGGACUUCUUUCCCAGACUGUGAGACACGGCGUGUAUUUCCUGGGAAGGACCUUUGACGCUGGCGGAGUACUGGCUUCAGGCAGUAUAAAUUGCUGCAAGUUAUCCGUUAGAUAUUUAAUGGAGGAGAAAUGCCGAAAACGUGUUCAGAACUGCAUGUUCAAAAACAAAGUUGCUGGAAAAGCUCAGAUAUUUAUUGAGAAUAAUUUGCAAACCAGGAUCCCAAUGCAAGUUCUCCAUUAAGCGGAGUGAUCAGGAUCUGAGUAUCAUUGACACUUAACAGUGAAAGGAAAGAGGUUUAACCAUUCUAUGCAUGGGAGAAUACUCCUGGACCUUUUGUGAUCUAAUCCCGUAACAGUGUGAGCUGCUACAAUGCACGUGCUAGUAAAAGCAUAAGAGGACAGAUGAGAUGAGUGCAUGGCUGGAGCUAUAACUUAAAAGGUUUGGAUUCCUGAGGCAUUGAGACUGUUUGUUUGUUUCUGGGGAAGGUGGGACAUGCACAAGCUUGAACAAUUGUCCUGGGCAGAGCUGGGACAGAUAUUCUUGUUGAUGCUUUUGCUAGUUCCACUGGUGAGGAUUUAAACUCGUAUGACAGGGGAAUGGGAACCCAAGUAUAGCUUUAGCAGUAAAAGACUCAAAUCAGCAAAUGGGAUUUGAAAUUAGUUCAUGAUGUUGUCGGUGGCUGAAAGAUUAAAAGAAAGAAGGAUUAAUCAAGAUCAAAUCUCUUUUCAUACAUCAGUCCUGUGAUCCCAGGAAUUGGCCUGGUGAACCUUCUUUCCGAUCAUUCAGUAGCCAGGCCAUCCUUCCUCUGGAAAGGAGAACAAAGGUGCACACGACUCCAGGUGUGGUCUCACCAAGGCCCUUAUAGAAAGAUAUCCCUCUUCCUGUACUCGAAUCCUCUCACAAUGAAGGCCGAAAUAUCAUUUGCAUUCUUCACUACUUGCUGCUGCCUGUUUCCGAAAAGAGAAUAGGAGAGAAACACGGAACUAAAUGGGGUCAGACACUCGGGUAACAUUGUGUUCAACAAUGUCCCCAUUGUAUCGGUGCUGGCCACCAAGCACCUAUUGAAGCUAGGCCCGUUUUCUGGCACUCGGUGUGUAACCUGUAUUUUGGUGCAGUGGAUGAUCAUCUCAACACUUCUUCAAGAUUGCAAUGGUUCCUGCAUCUAUCACCAUUUCAGAUGCUGCCAGAUCUGCUGAGUAUCUCUAUCAUUUUCUGUUUUUAUUUCAGAUUUCAGGUAUUUUUCUGCAUCUUAGUCCUUCAGAAGGAUCAGAGGGUAUGGAGAGAAAACAGGAAUUGGAUUCAUUUUCAGAUGAAUAAAAUGCCUGCCCUUCAUGUCUGUCCAAACUCUAUCUCUUUUUGUAGUUUUGGGCAAACGCUGACUGUUUCCCUUCCCUGAAGGACAUUUAAUGAACCAGUUCAGUUUUACUGAUAAUCCAGCAGUGCCCCUCAGUGUUGCAUCCACAAUUGAUCAGAUUAAUUUCUGAGUUUGACAAUCUUUGUGUGUGUUCUUCUGGUUUCUCUCUCUCUCUCUACUUUUUUUUUCUUCAGUUUGAAAUUGUGAUUGCAUUCAGAGAAAUCAAACAAAACCACAUCCAGAUCUGACACUCAAUCUGUUUGUCGUAACCUAAUUAUCUCAGGAUUUUGAACAUUAAAGGAAGAAGCACUGUUCACACCAGGGAGAAAUGCGUAUUGUCUGUGUGUCGAAGAUUCUGUGAAGAUUCAUCUGAAAUGCCCAAACACCAGCACGGUCACACUGGGGAGAGACUGUGGAAAUGUGGGGAUUGUGGGAAGGGAUUUAUUUACCCAUCCCAGCUGGAAAUGCACCAACGCAGUCACACUGGGGAGAAACUGUUCAUUUGCUCUGAUUGUGGGCUGGGAUUCACUCAGUCAAGCAACCUGCUGAAACACCAACGAGUUCACAGUGGGGAGAGACUGUUCACAUGUUCCGAGUAUGGGAAGGGAUUUGCUCACUCAACCAACCUGCUGAGACACCAGCGAGUUCACUCUGGGGACAGACCAUUCACUUGUUCUAUGUGUGGAAAGGGAUUCACUCAAUCAUCCCAACUGUUAACACACCAGCAAGUUCACCACAACCACAUUUGAAGGAUUUUGCCCUUAAAUCAAGGAAUGAACUUUGAUCUUUGGGCUGUUUGUACUGGUGUCAUUAGUCCCUGCUCAAAACUUGAUCUUCUCUUGGGAAAUAAGGUAGGGCAGGUGACUGAGGGGUCAGCAGGGGGGACAAUAUUUUGGGGCCUAUGAUUAUAUCUCUAUUAGUUUUAAAAUAAUUAUGGAAAAGGAUAGACUUUGGUCGAAGAGUCAAAGUUUUAAAUGAGGCCAAUUUUGACACUACUAUGCUUCUUAAAAGCACAGUAAGACCGCCUAUGUGUGGGAAUGCACGAGAUGGGUGAGAUACAAAAAAGUAUUUUACAUCAGUAUUUACUGUGAUAAAGGAUACAAAAGCUAAAGAACUUCGAGAAAUGAAUGUGUAUCUUGAAAAGCUCCAUGUUGUAGAGGAGGUGGUGCUGGAUGCCAUACAGAGCAUAAAGGUGGAUAAAUCCCCAGGACCUCUUCAGGUGUAUUCUCGAACUUUGCGGGAAGCUAAGCUUGCGAUUGGGCCCCUUGCU